CAUCACUGUUGGAGGCACUCGUGAUAUCUGAGCAAGAAGUGGUAGAAGCACCAUCUCUGUGAUUCUCUGGCUGAUGAAUUUCAGAUUCUGAUGUAUUUCCAGCCAAAUGAAGUUCAGCAGAACCUGAGGCAUCCAGUCCAUGGCUGGUGGGAGUAUUGGACUCCUCAAGCUUUUUCACAUUAAGAAAGCGCCCACCGGAACCCCUAGCCCUCCUCAGUGCAUGAAGGUGCCGAGAUUCAUGAAGAUAUGGCUUACGACUUUUGAUGAGUUUGUUUUGAGCCUCAAGCUUGGCGCGGUACCGUCUCCUCCUGAGAAUUGCAUUAUACUGUUUAGCAUUGACAAAAAUGGGUUCAUCUUCCGUAUAUUCAGGAGGCAGUGGCACCCGAGAAGAAGCCAUUCCAUACAUCUGAGGAUGAAUCAUUGCCUGUGGCGCAUAAGCAGAUAGUAGGCCACCAAAAUAUGGUUCUGCAAAAUGGAUGGGAAAGCGGGCAAUGGAUUGGCUAUAGUCAACUUGAGAAGGGAAGAUAAAAUCCUGAGUUCCUAUUGAUGAUGCUAAUUUAGGGUCACCUCCCUCAGCCUUCCCAUGAGUUUCAUUAAAUCCUUCUCCCAUGCUAGCUACUUCAGGGUAAGAUUGACAAGUGGACUGAGUUGAAG
rnacentral:misc_RNA from 1 species